UCAACCCCAGAGGUGUCAGCUGCUCCCA
rnacentral:piRNA from 1 species